CUACGCAUUACAACAGAGUUUGGAUCAUGGCUCAGAUCGGAACGCCGGGCGGAUGCUUUGCUACAUGCAAGCUCUAACGGCAGCAUGGACUUCGGUCUGCGAGUGGCGAACGUAAGAGCAAUGUAUCGAACGCCUAGUAGCGGUGAUAACAACUUACGAAAGGUAGCUUAAUACUGCAUGGCCCUUCGGGGAAAGCGGGGGAUCUUUUCGGGCCUCGGUUCGUUUAGAGCGCAGCGAUCGGAUUACACGUUGGUGGGGCAGCAACGUUCUCACCGUUGACGAUCCGUAGCUGUUUGAGGCAGACGACCAGCCGCUGGACUGACGGCUCAGAUCUUGCCUGGAGUGGAAUGGAUUAAUGGGGGAAACUGAUUCAGCCAUCCUGCGUGAUGAAGGCUCGUCAGUAAAAGCACUUUGGCAGGAGAAGAACGAACGGAUACGCUCCCGUCGCUGGGCACCCGAUUGGCAUCGCGCCAGAAUGUUGUUCGGCUAACUACGUGCCAGCAGCUCGCAAUACGUAGCAGUAAGCUCGUUGUUAAUCGAACUACUGGCGUAAAGCGUGCAGGCGGUUCGGAAAGAACAGGAAAUCCGCAGAGUUUGGUCUUGGAACCGUUUAACUACCGAGUCGAGGCGGCCAGGAGGAGGUGGAACUGCGGUGCAGCAGGAAUGCGUAGAUAUGCGGAGGAACACCGAUGGCGAAGGCAGCCUCCUGGGAUAUAACACUGACGUCCAUGCACGAAACACAAAUAAAGAGCAAACAGGAUUAGGAUACCCUUGGUAGUCCACGCCCUAAAACGAUGUCAACUAGCUGUUAAAGGCCUUCGGGCCUUGGUAGCGCAGCUAACGAAGUUGACCGCCUGGGGAGUACGGUCGCAAGAUUAAAACCCAAAGGAAUUGACGGACCUGCACAAGCGGUGGAUGAUGUGGAUUAAUUCGAUGCAACGCGAAAACCUACCUACCCUUGACAUGUCUGGAAUCCCGGAAGAGAUUUGGGGAGGUGCUCGUGAGAGAACCGGAACACAGGUGCUGCAUGGCUGUCGUCACCGUCAGCUCGUGUCGAGGAUGUUAAGUCCCGCAACGAGCGUGGCAACCCUUAUUACAUUAGUUGCUACGAAAGGGCACUCUAUCGACUGCUGAGAUACAACCGGAGGAAGGGUGGGGAUGACGUCAAGUCCUCAUGGUCUUAUGGCAAGGGGCUUCAUCAACAGUAUACAAUGGUCGGGAUGAGAGGGUCGCCACCCGCGAGGGGAGCCAACAUCCCAGAAACCCGAUCGUAGUCCGAUCGUAGUCUGCAACCGACUGCGUGAAGUCGGAAUCGCUGCAAUCGAUCAGGCAUGUCGCGGUGAAUACGUUCCUGGUCUUGUACACACCGUCCGUCACACCACGGGGAGCGGGGUUUUACCAGAAGUAGUUAGGCUGCCAUCCGUGAGGGCGAUUACCACGGUAGGAUUCAUGACUGGGGUGAAGUCGUACUGAAAA
rnacentral:rRNA from 1 species